UGCUUCAGCAGCAAUAUACUAAAAUUGGAAUUAUACAAAGAAGAUAAGUGUGCCUUCUUCCCAAGAAGGACAUUCAAAUUUGCAAAAGCGUUUCACAGUUUU
ensembl:snRNA U6 U6 spliceosomal RNA